UUUUUCUUUUUUCUUCUUUGUAGGGUUGCACAGCACCCAUGGCUUAUGGAAAUUCCUGGGCUAGGGGGUCAGAUUGGAGCUGCAGCUGAUGUGUGUGCCACAGCCACAGCAAUGUGGGAUCUGAGCCACAUCUGUGACCUACACUGUAGCUCAUGGAAACAUUAGGUCCUUAACCCACAGAGCGAGGCCAGGGACUGAACCUGAAUCCUCAUGGAUACUGGUCAGGUUUGUUUCUCCUGAGCCACAACGAGAACUCCGAGGGUGACCUUUCAAACGGAAUGUGCUAGCACUUGGUCAAGUGUUUUUCAGAUAGUGAGUAUCCACGAUAUAUUUCUGGAAUCAGGAAGAGUAGCGAAGUUUCUUCAGUGUCUUUCAUCCAGGGGAUUUUAUCCCCUUUUGCCUGGAGUCCUGCUGUUCCUAUAACUGCACCUCUCCCUCCUGGGCCAUGCCAUAAUUUUUACAUGUCACAUUUUUGCCCAGAAUUCUUCAGUCACUUUCUUCUUCUUUUUUAAAUUUUUUCAUUUUCAUUUAUUUAUUUUUGCUUUUUAGGGCUGCACCUGUGGCAUAUGGAGGCUCCCAGGCUAGGGGUCAAAUCGGAGCUACAGCUGCUGGCCUAUGCCACAGCCUCAGCAACGUGGGAUCCGAGCCAUAUCUGCAACCUACACCACAGCUCAUGGCAACGCCAGAUCCUUAACCCACUGAGCAAGGCCGGGGAUCAAACCCGCAACCUAAUGGUUCCUAGUUGGAUUCGUUUCCGCUGAGCCACAAUGGGAACUCCUCUUCUUUUUUUUUUAAAUCACAGAAUAAAGUCCAAUUUCUAACAUGGCAUUUAUGUAUAGAGUGGGGAGCCACCUUUUUCCCAUCUGGAAUAGGAGGAUAGUAGUGCCAAUUUCAUAGACGCGUUGAGAAGAUUAAGUGAAUAUUGUCUUUUUCCACAAGUCUUUCCAGGCUGGCUUGCUAUGUUUCUCUCAGCAUGUCUUACUUCUUCUCAUGGCUACAUAUUUGUUUUGCCUAGGACUCUAGCCUUGGAAAUGCCUGACCAUCACCUCCCAUUUUUCAGUCCUAAAAAUUCCUUUGGGCCCUGCCAGGCUACCAAUACUCAUUCUUAUCUCUAAGAACAUCUUUAUUCUGUUCUAUACAGAGUCUCAUAGUAGACAAUAUAGCCAGUUUCCUACCCAAAUGUUAAAACCAUGCAUACAUUGCCUUCCUGGUGGCCAUAUUGCUUCCACAUGAAUAAUUUCAGUGUUGAUGAGCUAAACUUGGGCCGCUCAUCCCAUUUUUUUUUCAGCAAGUCUAAUUAAAUAACUGCAACAUGUAAUUAUCUUUUUAGUCAUGACAGUCUUGCCUUUUUAAAAUUUUCAGUUCUUCCAGAGGAACAAAGUAACUGCUGGAAAGGCACUGAUUGUAUUUAGGUCUAAAAUUAUAAUUUCACGACAUUGGUAGUUAAACCAUUGCUAUUACUUUUCUUUUCUUCCUUUACUGUUCCUUCGGGGAGAGGACUUAGCACUACAGGGCUUGUGAUUAUUAUGACAAUGACUAGAACAGAAAGAAGGCAAAGAAAACCCUCUUGGUUGAUGUCUACUGAUACUUGAACCAACUUUACUUAGACGACUUUAUACUUAAACAGUAUUUGAAUCUUUGAAAAAAAUUUGUUGCAAAACUUUUACUUGUUCUAUCCCUUUUGGUGAAUUCUUCUAGUCUUUUUAAUAUUUAUAUACAAAUAUAUCCAUAUAUAUAUAUUUGCUUUAGUUUUUAUAAAAAUUGGGGCUACACUCUAUAUGCUGCUUUGUAUUUCCUUUUUAAAAGACUGAAAAAUGUGCAAAUGACACUUUUUCAUGUCAGUAUAUAAAGACUUAAUUUUUAAUGGCUCCGUGUGGUGGCACAACUGACCUAUAUUUUUUUCUUAUUGAUCAACACAUGUUAUUUCCAGUUGAUUCUUGAAUUUGGAUUUCUUUACCAUAAAAGAUAUUAAAAAGGUAAACGACCACUACACUCCUAUUCAAAAAUUCACCCAGGGUUAAGAGUUAACUUCUGUCACCACAAAGUUUAUGUGCUGAAAUCUUAGCCUCUACUACCUUAGAAUGUGACCAUAUUAAGGAACAGGGUCAUUGUGGACACAGUAGAGAUAAGGCCAUACUGGAGUAGAGUGGACCCCCCUACUGGUGUCCUUAUAAAAAGGGAAAAUGUGGAAACAGACCACAGGGAGAACAUUAUGUGAAAAUGAAGGGAGAGAUCAGGGUGAUGCAUCUAUAGGCUGUGGAAUGCCAAAGAUUGUCAGAAACUCACCAGAAGCGAGAAGACAGGCCUAGAACAGAUUCUCUCUCUGCCCUCAGAAGGAACCUGUCUUGCCAAUACCAGACCUUGGACUUUCAGCCUCCAGGUCUGUGAUUCAAUAACCUUCUAUUGUUUAAGCCACUCAGUUUGUGGUGUUUUGUUAAGCAGUCCUAGAAAAUGAAUAUAUUCAGUUUAAAAAAAAAAAAAGGUUGUUUAGUGUUUAAGAUAAAGAAUAUUGGGGUGACAGUUCAUGAUUUUGAGUGAAGGCCUAUCUAGGGUGACUGUGUUGUGUCAUAGUGUCUAUCCAGUGAUAUGCUGUAAGACAGUAACUGUGAUACAGCACAAGGCUUCUGGGAAGUGGCUCAAACUAUAAAAAAAGAAUGUGUUGGAUGUUAGGGCAGAGACCAAGUUACUGACCAGAGAUCGGGAAUGGUGAAAAGGAAAGAAUUAUUGAGAGCUUUCCAUAGACAAGGGUGUGGUAACCUAGGCUAUGUGUUCUGGCUUUUAAUCAAAUUGGGUAAUGCAAACAAGUAAAUAAUAAUGAAUUAUCUCUAGAGAAUGUAGCCUUCCUCUACCUCCAUUAAUAUCUCCUUCAAGGAUCUAAAUCUGAGAUUUUUAGCAGCAUAUGAUAGAUGACCUGAUUUUCUGGGAAAUCUAGGGGCACAUGAUUGAAUACUGUAUGUGUUACAUCAAUGUGCAUAUUUAUGAACAUAAAUUGCUUGCAGAAAGUUAUACCAGCCAUUCUGUUUUCAAGAUAUUGGCUAGACAGAGACAGUAGAAAAGGUAAAGAUAAAGGUUCUCCUUGGAACAAAGCCUCAUUCUCAAAACCAGGGUCCAUGCUGGGGAUGCAGACUGAGAAGCUGGGCCUGCCUGGAAGUUCUAAUCAGGAUGAAGCACUGUAACAUUUAGACACAUCAAACGAAUGUUCCCCUUACCUUUAAAAUUUGUGACUCACCGUAUUGUACUCCUAUAACAUACAAUAUUGUACAGCAACUACACUUCAAUAAAAACAAAGAAAUUAAUGUCCCCCUUAUGUAGAAUUUCCUCCUCCUCUACUUAAAACUUCCUUGUUCUUCAGGGCACAUUCUGGAAUAGUCUCCUCCAUAGAGCCUUCCUUGCCCUGAGCCCCAGAGCUCUGUCAUGUCUCUGAACCAGUACACUUUUAUUUUUCAUGCUUUAUUUCCUAGGCAACUAAAUGGUAAUUACAAGACUGUGUGAUCACAUUUUACUACAGUUAGAUUUAAAACUCCACAGUGGUAGAGACUUUGCCUGCUUUAUUCACCUUGGCACACCACUGGGCACGUAGUAGGUGCUCGACAAUUUUUUUUUUUGGAUAAAGGGUUGCACAUAUAUGUAUAUUGCAACUUCUCUUCCCACUGUUAUUUGAGGUUAAAUUAUUUUUGCUGGAAAACAACUCCCCUUCUCUGUUGGCUAGAUAUGACCCAUAAACCACAGUUGCAGCCUCUGCUCUACAAGUAAUUUAUAGAACCCACAGUAAUUAUCUCUCUAUACCCCAACAGUUCUUGGCAUGAGAAUGGUAGAGAUCAGAUGGUGGCAAAUAAAUGCACAAGAACACCCAAGUCAUGUUUUGAACUACUGAGGUUUUUUCUUUUUUAUUGCAAAACAUUUGUUACAGAAAUUUCAGAAAGUUUUUCCCGUGGUAUCUGCCAACUUCUGCUUCGAAUUAUAUAUCUAAACGAACAAGCUCAAAGUGCAUUGUGAAUCCAAUAACAGACCUUUAAAAAAGAACAAUUCCUCUAAGGAUUUAUAUAUAUUUAUAAUGCUGAUAGAUAUGUAAACCGCUGUCUAUCUAUACACAAAGAAGGAAAAGAUGUGUAUACCUUUAAGAAACCCAAUUGCAAAAUUGUUUUAUUUAUAGGAAUUUGUUCAAAAAUGAUAUUUGAAUAAUCUUCCCCAUUAUAAACUAUGGUUAGAAUGUGUACAAAUGAGAAUCUAAGAUAUGUAUUAUGAAAUGGCUAUGAGUACAGUAUACUGCAUGUACUGUUUUGCACAGCAAGAGCAGCAAUAUAAACUCAGGUCAGACACUGUAGUGACAGGAAGCAGAUAAGCCUUGAUACUAUGCUAUGUUACUCUUCUUCUGAAUCUCCCUCAGAAAGACCCUACAUGUGGGUCCAGAAUGAUGCAGCUAGCAAACAUACACACACAUAUCAUUUGGGAGAAGAGAAAUAACCCUGAAUAGGGUGAGUUCCUUUCCCUCCCACCUCAAUUUUCAGUGUAUUUUGUGUAUACACUCCCUAAGUUGGAAUCAAGAAUAUGAUCCUGGUAGGCUCUGAUUCAGAGGUCCCAAACUAUUGCUUUGGGACUGAAAGCUGCUGGCAGACACAUUUGCUUGGCUAUCACAAUGUUUGCAAAUCUGAAUGUGAAUGUCUUUGUAGUAGGACAUGUGUUCUCUCCUGUCCUACAAACCCUACUUCCUCCUGUGGUCUUUUACCAGUCCAGUAGACACAUUUGUUUCUGGAUCCAGGUCCUCCACCUAUUUGAGUAUGCAACCCCAUGAUCUAGAUGCAGAUGGCCAGUGGUGAUACGUGGGGAGUUGGGGUGAAGAUAUGAGGGACUCUUUUCUUUUGGGAUUCAGACAGGCAAAGAAUGAUGAAACUGAUGCCAGCACCAGGCAAGUUAGGAGCAUGGGGCAGAGUUGAGAGGACAAAGCUAAAUUAGUGGGGAAAAUGAGGGAUGGACAGUCUGAAUGUCUGUAGCCACUGUCUUGGCUUACUGUGCCAGAGCCCAUAGGGGAUUGAGGUGAUGUGAGCAUGAGUCAAUUGGUCUGGCAAAAAAAAAAAAAAAAAAAAAAAAA
rnacentral:lncRNA from 1 species